GUGGUGGCUCAGUGGUAAAGCGCUUGCCUAGCAUGCAUGAGGCACUGGGUUCAAUCCUCAGCACCACA
rnacentral:tRNA from 1 species